CGGCCGGACCGAACCGUGCGCCGAACGGGAGCCCACGCGAAUUUCCCGCGCUAGUCUUGCGCGCUGCUGCCGCUGCAGGGAGACCCAUGUGCGGCCUAGUGCAUGAGCUAUCACAGCGAAUUUAUGACUACGACGUAGUCAUUUCAGAAUCAAGUAUAUACUAAAGAAUGUCCCAUGUCACUUAUUCCAAAAGAGGGCAAAAAUACAAAAGAGGAAGUGCGCGUGAAACGUUGAUCAUAAUGUAGUAUUGAAAACAGAGCAAGCAGAAAUUACAGAGGGCAACCUGAAGGUGCGACACAAGCAGUUGCAGUGCAAACAAGACAGUACAUAUAUCCAAUUAUUUGAAGCCAAGUCUAGGAA